rnacentral:rRNA from 1 species
AACGAACGCUGGCGGCAUGCCUAACUCAUGCAAGUCGUACGAGACCUUCGGGUCUAGUGGCGCACGGGUGCGUAACGCGUGGGAAUCUGCCCUUGGGUUCGGAAUAACAGUUAGAAAUGACUGCUAAUACCGGAUGAUGACUUCGGUCCAAAGAUUUAUCGCCCAGGGAUGAGCCCGCGUAGGAUUAGCUUGUUGGUGAGGUAAAAGCUCACCAAGGCGACGAUCCUUAGCUGGUCUGAGAGGAUGAUCAGCCACACUGGGACUGAGACACGGCCCAGACUCCUACGGGAGGCAGCAGUGGGGAAUAUUGGACAAUGGGCGAAAGCCUGAUCCAGCAAUGCCGCGUGAGUGAUGAAGGCCUUAGGGUUGUAAAGCUCUUUUACCCGGGAUGAUAAUGACGGUAACCGGAGAAGAAGCCCCGGCUAACUUCGUGCCAGCAGCCGCCGUAACAC